GACGAACGCUGGCGGCGUGCUUAACACAUGCAAGUCGAACGGAGUGGCGAACGGGUGAGUAACACGUGGGUGAUCUGCCUUGCACUUCGGGAUAAGCUUGGGAAACUGGGUCUAAUACCGGAUAGUGCAAGAUGAGCUCGCGGCCUAUCAGCUUGUUGUUGGGGUAAUGGCCUACCAAGGCGUCGACGGGUAGCCGGCCUGAGAGGGUGUACGGCAAAAUGGGGACUGAGACACAGCCCAGACUGCUACGGGGGGCAGCAGUGGGGAAUAUUGCACAAUGGGCGGAGGCCUGAUGCAGCGGCGCCGGGUGGGGGAGGUAGACCUUCGGGUUGUAAACUCCUUUCGACAGGGACGCGGUACCUGUAUAAGAAGCACCGGCUAACUACGUGCCAGCAGCCGCGGUAAUAC
rnacentral:rRNA from 1 species